GACGAACCGUGCAAACGUUGUUCGGAAUCACUGGGCUUAAAGGGCGCGUAGGCGGGCUGGUAAGUCAGGGGUGAAAGCCCACGGCCCAACCGUGGAAGUGCCUUUGAUACUGCCAGUCUCGAGGGAGGUAGGGGCGUGCGGAACUUCCGGUGGAGCGGUGAAAUGCGUAGAUAUCGGAAGGAACACCGGUGGCGAAAGCGGCGCGCUGGACCUCUUCUGACGCUGAGGCGCGAAAGCCAGGGGAGCAAACGGG
rnacentral:rRNA from 1 species